rnacentral:misc_RNA from 1 species
GAUGAAGAACGCAGCGAAAUGCGAUAAGUAAUGUGAAUUGCAGAAUUCAGUGAAUCAUCGAAUCUUUGAACGCACAUUGCGCCCGCCAGUAUUCUGGCGGGCAUGCCUGUCCGAGCGUCAUUUCAACCCUCGAACCCCUCCGGGGGUCCGGCGUUGGGGAUCGGGAACCCCUAAGACGGGAUCCCGGCCCCGAAAUACAGUGGCGGUCUCGCCGCAGCCUCUCAUGCGCAGUAGUUUGCACAACUCGCACCGGGAGCGCGGCGCGUCCACGUCCGUAAAACACCCAACUUCUGAAAUGUUGACCUCGGAUCAGGUAGGAAUACCCGCUGAACUUAAGCAUAUCAAUAACGGAGGA